AUUGAACGCUGGCGGCAUGCCUUACACAUGCAAGUCGAACGGUAACAGGCCGCAAGGUGCUGACGAGUGGCGAACGGGUGAGUAAUGUAUCGGAACGUGCCCAGUCGUGGGGGAGUAACUGCUCGAAAGAGCAGCUAAUACCGCAUACGACCUGAGGGUGAAAGCGGGGGAGUCGCAAGACCUCGCGCGAUUGGAGCGGCCGAUAUCAGAUUAGGUAGUUGGUGGGGUAAAGGCCCACCAAGCCAACGAUCUGUAGCUGGUCUGAGAGGACGACCAGCCACACUGGGACUGAGACACGGCCCAGACUCCUACGGGAGGCAGCAGUGGGGAAUCUUGCGCAAUGGGCGAAAGCCUGACGCAGCCAUGCCGCGUGAAUGAUGAAGGUCUUAGGAUUGUAAAGUUCUUUAGCCUGUGACGAUGAUGACGGUAACAGGAGAAUAAGCCCCGGCUAACUUCGUGCCAGCAGCCGCGGU
rnacentral:rRNA from 1 species